GCAACAUGAGAUUUUCUAAGGUACAUAUCUUUCUCUUGGGGUCAAUUAAAUAACAUGAACACUUGGUACUUUUUCAUACCAAAAAGGCGCAAUAGAUGUUCAGCACCAUAUACACUAGAUGGAGAGACAUUAUCUGAAACUGCUUCAUGAUACUGUUGGCGCUCCUUCUUGUACAAUAAAAGUGCAGGCAGUGCUUUGUCAAAAUAGCAUCGAAUUCCAUUCAGUAUCUCCCCAACUGAAUCAGUCAUCAUCCCGUCCUUUUUGGAUCGGUAUUCAAGGUACUUGGUCAAUAUAUCAUCCACAGUGGGAGAUCGUGGGAGCUUCACAAGCUUAUUCUGGUGCAUGAUGAACUCCCAAUCAUCAACUAGUUGCUUCUUCAAAGUAGAUGGAAUCUGAAUCUUCACAAGUUUCUCUACAGAUACAUUGCCCUUCUCAGCGCCUGAGUCAGUUUUGCGCUUUUUCCCUUUUGGAACAUUGCUCUUAGUUUCUUCCUUGUCCAGUUUAACAUCAGCUGAGCUUUUGGGUUUUGCCGGUGCUGAACGUCCAGAUUUAGUACUUUUCUCCAUGCCCUGCUUCUUGUCCAGGGCCUGCUGCUUCAAGACGUUGUCUUCCGUGUGCUUCAU
rnacentral:misc_RNA from 1 species